GAUAACUUGUCGUAUUUGUGGAUAUCGUGUUAAUACUUGCGUAUCCCAAAAAUAUGCAGUUUCAAUGAUAUAGCUAUUGAAGAUCUCGCCGAAACGCGUCGUUUGCUGUACAGAUUUGUGGUACUACAGUGGCAUAAAGUCCGAUAACGGCAUAUAAAAAUGUUAUUUAGGUAGUAACGCUCAUUUUUCAGUUUUUUUAGGGUCUUUCCGAUUUACAUGUGUGAUGUGUGUCACUGUAACAGCGUUCUUGUGUUUAUUGGAGGAGUGUCUGCUGCAGUGGGAGAUGCCUGAUGGCCACUAUAGUGUGCAGGACCCAUUAGGCAUCGAUAAAGAGGAAUGUUCACCUCCAGAAGACUUUCUUGCACAUUCAGUAUUGAGAAGACUGAGGACAAGGGAGAUAAGGAGGCUAUGAACGAGGACCACUUUGAGAUGAGUCACGUUCCACAUGGUCUGUGUGUACCACUAGUGUACUGCUGACAGUGGGGUAAAACAGACAAAGUUCAAGGACUUGAAACAUGAAGUGGAGUCAGCAAGUAGCGGCAUUGAACCAGAAAGGAACAAGGUCUACAGCGACAGUCCUGUGGCUCAAGUAAAUUUCUGACUUUUAUUAAAAGAUAAAACGAUACAUUCCACUCAAGCAUCUCACUCAUUAUAGAGGGAUGCUGACUCAGUUUUACAGGACAACAAAUGGGAAGAUGCAGUACAGAAAAUGGUCCAGAGAUCACCAGAGUGUCUGAGAUAUGAGUGAACAGCGUGGCAUUACAUUAUUUGUAAAAGAGGUAUUGUAUACCAGGAGUAAAUCUAAUGACUGUCUCUAACUAGAAGUUUGUAAAUGUAUGUGUAUAUGAAUUAGCUUAUUUUAAAUUGAUCUGAACUUGUAAAUACUUUGCCAUGUCCUAUAUCCUUGUAAAAAGAGUUCUACAAAGGAAUAAAGCUACUACUACUACUACUA